rnacentral:lncRNA from 1 species
UAAUUUUUUUUUUUUUUUUUUUUUGAGAUGGAGUCUCACUAACUCUGUCACCUAGGCUGAAGUGCAGUGGUGCAAUUCUGGCUCACUGCAAGCUCUGCCUUUCAGGUUCAAGCAAUUCUCCUGCCUCAGCCUCCCGAGUAGCUGAGAUUACAGGUGUGUAUCACCACACCCAUCUAAUUUUUGUGUUUUGUUUUAGUGGAGAUGAGGUUUCACCAUGUUGGCCAGGCUGGUCUUGAACUGACCUCAAGUGGUCCACCCACCUCAGCCACCCAAAGUGCUGGGAUUACAGACAUGAGCCACUGUGCCCAGCUGUACCCAGCUAAUUUUUAAAAAUUUUUUUGUAGAGAUGGGGUAUUGCCAUGUUGCUGAGGCUGGUCUUGAAUUCCUGGGCUCAAGCAAUCCUCCGGUCUCAGGCUCCCAAAGUAUUGAGAUUACAGUCAUGAGCCACUGCACCCAGCCUUCUCCAGUAUUUUAACACUGAGUAGAAUUCUAUUGUGAAUUUAUUUAAAGUAUUAAAGUGAUUUGGGAUUGUUUUUAUCUUUUUUAGUCGAUAUGUUUUUCAAUAAUGUUUUAACAUUCUCCAACUAUUCUUAUUUUUUUCCAAAAAAAAAAAAAAA